rnacentral:rRNA from 1 species
UACGUAGGGAGCAAGCGUUGUCCGGAAUCAUUGGGCGUAAAGCGCGCGUAGGCGGUCAGGUAAGUCCGGUGUGAAAGUCAAAGGCUCAACCUUUGAAUGCCGCUGGAAACUGUCUGACUUGAGUCCGGUAGGGGCGAGUGGAAUUCCUGGUGUAGCGGUGGAAUGCGCAGAUAUCAGGAGGAACACCCAUAGCGAAGGCAGCUUGCUGGGACGUUACUGACGCUAAGGCGCGAAAGCGUGGGGAGCGAACGAG